ensembl:lncRNA
AAAAUGUGUUCAGCGUGUGAUAAUAUGGUACACUAAAGAACAAAAGGGCAAAAGAAAAAUGAGGCUUUAAUAGGCACAAUAUCUAGGUCAUUUAUCCUUGGUUAAUGGGUAGAAAAACACAAUGCUGUAGUGACAGCAAGGGAUACAAAGGCUCUGUGGUAUCCUGUAGACCAGAGCUUGUGAUGCCAGAAACCACUGUGUCAAACAACCUACAUGAAACUAAAACUGACCCACUUUUCAUAAAAACCAGCGUCUCUUCUGGAGAGCUACCGAUUUGUACCCUUUUGUGACCUUUGAUAUUGGAGAUAAUGUACCAUUUGAGAACUUCUGUUUUCACAGUGUUGUCACCUUGGCACACACGUACACAACCGUCUCGAUGGUGAGGAUAAAAGGUUAGGUCUGCAGUAGAGUACAUGAAAAAUUAGCUAUUUGAGUAGCCAGCUGUGGGUGGACCCCUGUCUUAUGAUUGAUUUUACCUGUGCUUUUGGAGAGCUGCAACCCUCUCACAUCCCCUGUGAAUUUGCACAAGAGCUCGAAGUAAGGAGUACUGCAAGGCCAGAACUCAGCCGUGAGGAGGACGUGUUACAAGGGCUGAACUUGCCCUGAAAGGAGCGUUCAACGGACAAUGAAAGUAGAUGAGAAAUGAAAGCUGAGGAAGUGAAUUCGGUGUGAAUGAAUCACAGACACGCACUGCUGAAAUGAAUAGGUGGCAGAAUGUCUCGUACUGCCACUUAAAUAGAUCAUAGGGAGUUAAUGAAGGUUAGGAAGGAUUUCCUCCUGCCAUGUCCAUCACCGGACAGUUGACGAGGUGUGCUAUCCCUGCCUCUUUCUAAAACAUUGCACGUAGACCGCGACAACAAGUGAGAGGCUGAAGGCCAAGGUAUAUUAACUUGAUCCGGUGUGUUGAAUCCAUUCUAUCUGUUAAAGUUGUUUAAAUGACUGGUAUCUUAUUUUGUCAUCCGUCUCUAGAACUUCCCCUGUAAAAGUGGCUAGGUGCUUCCUGUUGUGUGUAUUUCACGUACUGAUAUAAAAUAGCCCUCUUCUAAAUUCAGUUUUAUAAUACCCAGCAAAGAUUUAAACAGACUAAUGAUAUCCCUUGGGAGGCCCCUUUUUAAUUGGCAAGAAUAGAAAUUAUAUCGUUAAAUGCCACGCGAGCCCUUUUCAUUCUCCCAACCCUCUUCCUCCUCAAAAUGAGGGGGAAAUUCAGGUAACCGCCUACUUCUGCCUGCAGGUUUUUGGCACUGAAACAUCCAAGUCAUGACAUAGGGUGUCUGAGGGACAUAGUAAGUGAAUCUUGCCCCUCUUAGAAGCAUUCCUCAAUGCAGUUAUUACUCAGCUGUGUUUCCUGUUCAAAGCAAAACCGAAACUGGAGACUGCUGUAGCAGCGUGGAUGCUGUGAUGGUGGGGGAGUCUCUGUGCUCUCCAACAGCCUCACCUCCUCCAGGUUAAGCAGACUGCUCACCUGUUGGAAAGAAGGUGGCGUUUGGUUUUGGAAGGGAUAUGGGCCCCUGGUAUGAAAAAAUGAAGUGGGGGGAUUGCCAUCUAAUGUCCAAGAAAUGUAUUACAUGAAAAUAUGAAGGUUUUUCUUUGAUACGACAGAGUUUUUAAUAUGUUAAUUAUUGCAGUGGUUCUCACAAAGUUUUAAAGUGUGUCUAAAUGAAUAAAAGCUUACGUGCGUAAGAUGAU